rnacentral:rRNA from 1 species
CAGUCGCCGCGGUAAUACGGAGGGGGCUAGCGUUGUUCGGAAUUACUGGGCGUAAAGCGCACGUAGGCGGCUUUGUAAGUCAGAGGUGAAAGCCUGGAGCUCAACUCCAGAAUUGCCUUUGAGACUGCAUCGCUUGAACGUCGGAGAGGUGAGUGGAAUUCCGAGUGUAGAGGUGAAAUUCGUAGAUAUUCGGAAGAACACCAGUGGCGAAGGCGGCUCACUGGACGACUGUUGACGCUGAGGUGCGAAAGCGUGGGGAGCAAACAGGAUUAGAUACCCCUGUAGUCCCUGUCUCUUAUAA